rnacentral:lncRNA from 1 species
UUUUUUUUAAAAAAAUUCAUUUCUCCACUCCUUCAAAAAAAACAAAAAUUCCUUCAAAAAAAGCUCUCAACCUCCGACACCGGCCUCCGGUUGGUCGGUCAUCGGCCCUUCAUCGGCCACCGCGCUGGUCGCCGAUCUCUGACACCGGCACCACCGUCUACGGUGGCCGAAAAAACGAAAAAACCCCCUUUUAGCCUUCUCGACCUCCUUUUCCCAAAUCUGGGCUUAAAUCCCACAAAAC